GAGAUCUGGUGUCUUGUGGUGGCGGGUCGGAUCUUGCGAAUCGUCGUCUAUACUUGGGACCUGGACUAAGAUGGUUAGACCUGUGAGUAUGCACACCUCAUUUUUCGGUCUGCUCUCUCUAACCAACGCGAGCAGUGUUAGACCGGAUUCACUACGAGCACUGAAUCGAAGCUCCUCGGCCGAGGUUAGAGCCACAGGAGAGAGUGACAGGGACUUAGGAUGUCGAAGUUAACACCGGUAGGCAACGCCUACUACCACGAGCGUCGGCGUCGCUCGCGUGGCAGGGAGGUUCCAACCUUUGCGGUCUAGAGUCGACAAUGGACGGUCGUAGGUGUAAGUCAGGGUGAGGGUGCGUGACACAAGUCUCAUAGACGUUGUUUCUUAUUACUCUCCUUUGCCUCUGCGAGGGCCUUAGACAGGUUUCCGGGUCGUAAUUAGCGGCUUCUUCGAAGGGGCUCGUUGCCGCUUUUGGGGUGGUGGUAGGAACUAGAGUUACAGCUACUACUACGAUGAUCGCUACUCUUUCGACGCCCACGGGGUUCCUCACGACAAGAAGUCAGAACGUGGGAGUGUAGGCCGAACGACGAACGUAAUCCAGAGGAAGAAGCACUCCGUAGUGUGCAACGUAGAAGUUUACCUGACGGCAAACGACUGGGAUGCCGGCAUAGUAAGUUAAAACUUUGGACCGUAGAGCUCAACCAGCGGCCUGAUCAUUAUAACUAUAGCAGAUGGUCUAUGUAAGACGAUGUCUAUACCGGGCUAAAGUCUCUAAGGUCACUUCGGCGUUUAUGUGUCUAGGAAUGAAGGGACCUCAGAGACCUAAUGUAACAUCAACGAACAGAGGGACCCUAUUCACUUCUCAAGGACAAAGCUCCCCGUAACUACGGUUAAAAACCUAACUUAACCUAUUCACGAGAUCGUUGACCACAGAAAAAGCCACAAGAAGUGAACCCUUUACCGUCCUCUAUAAGUAAACGUCAGACCGCAAAGGUACAUCAACUUUGAGUCUGAAAGUCUACAUAAUGUUUUAAUACGGCUCUGUCGUGCGGCCUUCAUAGAGGACGGAACAAGGGUUCUACCUCCUUCACU
rnacentral:rRNA from 1 species